UGCUAUAUAUUUUGGCUCCCUCCCAGAUCAAAUUAAUUUAUAAUUAUGGAGGAUUGUUCUUAACAAAGUAAUCGACAAAGAAGUGAUCACCAAUUGCCCUGUCUACUUAUAUCUCUAUGAAAGCAAAUGCAAGUGGAAACUACCGAGGUUCGGUAAAUAAGGAUUGACCAGUAGCUCUUUUCUAAACUAGAAGGUACAAAGUCUUACUUCUCACCACACGGAGUGGAGACCACAUCUUGUCAUUCUAUUGAGGUGAUACAUCUCUGAUCUCCAGAUUUCAUCUCAUUGAGAUUUUCAUUCCCUCCAUUCGAGUACAUAUACAUUCCGUUAAAACAAACUUUAUUCAGGACCAAGUGUUCCCAUGUAGCUUUAUGUCCAUGUUUCCUCUAAAGUUAAAUGUAUGAGAAACAAUCAUCAAGAAGAUAAAGGAAAAAUACAUGGUUUCUCACUGCAAAAAUAUCUUGGUUCCUGGUAAGGCCCUUCACAGACAUGAAAAGAAAAACAAUAUCACAGAGACUUCUUUUCAGCUCUACAAGAGAAAUUCUCAGGAGUAUGUAUCUUAGUUGUCUACCAUCGUUUGUCAAGUCAUCAUACAAAGAUAACAGGUGAGAACAAACAAAAUUGAAUGCUAAGAAAGGGCUGGUGUUUUUCAUACAAAUAAAUAUGUAUAAAUGUUAUUAAGCACAACUUACAGCAAUCAAAAAUAAUGGUCGGCCAUGCAAUUUUAUUUUUUCUAAAUAGGCAUGGGUGCAAGGAUCAAGGUUUUAAUCUUACAUGUCAUGCAGUCCAAGGGAGAAGUUGCUUCUGCCACCGCUCACUGGUCGUGUGCCUGAUAGUUCCACCCAAAGUGAUGUGCAUCCACUAUAAAUCCUUCGUCAGAUGAAAAAAGUCGCAACAAAAGAUCCCUACAAAAUCAGUAAUUAACUAUUCUGCUACAUUAAGGUGAAGGCAUGAAGCUAACAGAUAUCUCAACAAAACGAAAAUUAAUGCCUGCUUAGUGGGCUUAUAUAUGCGGCAGGGUCUUCCCUGAAUCAUGUGUGGCAUCAUCCAAACACGGUGUUAAGCAUCCCACAACGAGUGGUUCGGCGACAUGCUAUAGUACAGGGAGGUUUCUGUGAAGAACCAGGUGAGACAGCCAGUGCCGCUGAAGCAGUGAGGAUGAUGCCAGAGUUUGACAAAAUACCAAGUUUUCAAUUCACAUGUAUCGGUCAUCAUCGGUGUUUG
rnacentral:lncRNA from 1 species